rnacentral:rRNA from 1 species
UACGUAGGGGGCAAGCGUUGUCCGGAAUCAUUGGGCGUAAAGCGCGUGUAGGCGGCUGAGUAAGUCUGCUCUGAAAGCCCGGGGCUCAACCCCGGGAGGCGGGUGGAUACUGCUCAGCUCGAGUCCGGAAGAGGAGUGUGGAAUUCCUGGUGUAGCGGUGAAAUGCGCAGAUAUCAGGAGGAACACCAAUGGCGAAGGCAGCACUCUGGGACGGUACUGACGCUGAGGCGCGACAGCGUGGGGAGCAAACAGG